ACUGUUCCGGGAGGAGGGAACGUGUGGCGCUAAUGCACCAACCGCCAAAAAACCUCAAAAUAUGAACGAGGGAACUUUAAAAAAAGAAGAGAAAAAGAAGAGAAAACUACCGCGGCGUGACGUCAGACGCCAAAAAGGUGACCGCGUGCUUCAGCUCCUCAGCAAGGCGCUCCAGGGUGGCGUGUUCGACCUGGUCCAGAUUGAUGUCCCGUCCAGAAUGGAACAACGUGCUUCCUGCUCAGAGACCUGGUCGGACCCGCCAUAUACAAAAGCCUGAGGCUAUCAAAAAAAGAUUGAUCUUCAUGAAGUUCGUCAAAGAGUAGGUGUGAUGAUUUAACUCAGGGUGGCCGCUGUGUCCCCACUCUCUUGGCCGCUGUGCCUACAUCU